rnacentral:rRNA from 1 species
GGAGCCCAGAGCCUGAAUCAGUGUGUGUGUUAGUGGAAGCGUCUGGAAAGGCGUGCGAUACAGGGUGACAGCCCCGUACACAAAAAUGCACAUAUUGUGAGCUCGAUGAGUAGGGCGGGACACGUGGUAUCCUGUCUGAAUAUGGGGGGACCAUCCUCCAAGGCUAAAUACUCCUGACUGACCGAUAGUGAACCAGUACCGUGAGGGAAAGGCGAAAAGAACCCCGGCGAGGGGAGUGAAAAAGAACCUGAAACCGUGUACGUACAAGCAGUGGGAGCCUCUUAAUGGGGUGACUGCGUACCUUUUGUAUAAUGGGUCAGCGACUUAUAUUCUGUAGCAAGGUUAACCGAAUAGGGGAGCCGAAGGGAAACCGAGUCUUAACUGGGCGUUAAGUUGCAGGGUAUAGACCCGAAACCCGGUGAUCUAGCCAUGGGCAGGUUGAAGGUUGGGUAACACUAACUGGAGGACCGAACCGACUAAUGUUGAAAAAUUAGCGGAUGACUUGUGGCUGGGGGUGAAAGGCCAAUCAAACCGGGAGAUAGCUGGUUCUCCCCGAAAGCUAUUUAGGUAGCGCCUCGUGAAUUCAUCUCCGGGGGUAGAGCACUGUUUCGGCAAGGGGGUCAUCCCGACUUACCAACCCGAUGCAAACUGCGAAUACCGGAGAAUGUUAUCACGGGAGACACACGGCGGGUGCUAACGUCCGUCGUGAAGAGGGAAACAACCCAGACCGCCAGCUAAGGUCCCAAAGUCAUGGUUAAGUGGGAAACGAUGUGGGAAGGCCCAGACAGCCAGGAUGUUGGCUUAGAAGCAGCCAUCAUUUAAAGAAAGCGUAAUAGCUCACUGGUCGAGUCGGCCUGCGCGGAAGAUGUAACGGGGCUAAACCAUGCACCGAAGCUGCGGCAGCGACACUAUGUGUUGUUGGGUAGGGGAGCGUUCUGUAAGCCUGUGAAGGUGGCCUGUGAGGGUUGCUGGAGGUAUCAGAAGUGCGAAUGCUGACAUAAGUAACGAUAAAGCGGGUGAAAAGCCCGCUCGCCGGAAGACCAAGGGUUCCUGUCCAACGUUAAUCGGGGCAGGGUGAGUCGACCCCUAAGGCGAGGCCGAAAGGCGUAGUCGAUGGGAAACAGGUUAAUAUUCCUGUACUUGGUGUUACUGCGAAGGGGGGACGGAGAAGGCUAUGUUGGCCGGGCGACGGUUGUCCCGGUUUAAGCGUGUAGGCUGGUUUUCCAGGCAAAUCCGGAAAACC